GCCUGUGGCCGGUUGGCCUCUAGGCAAUGUGGUGUUCAGGUUAGCUCGCGGAGGUGCUGCUCCACCCUAAGUCCUAUUAUGAGUAAGGUUACUCGGACGUGGCCCAGUGAGGGUGAAAGGCCCGUGGGGGUGGAGACUCAGAUUGGACAGUAUCUCCCUGAGCAGACCUUGGAGUCGGGUUGUUUGUGAAUGCAGCCCAAAGUGGGUGGUAAACUCCAUCCAAGGCUAAAUACUUGCACGAGUCCGAUAGCGAACAAGUACCGUGAGGGAAAGUUGAAAAGUACUUUGAAGAGAGAGUAAACAGUGCGUGAAACCGUUCAGAGGUAAACAGGUGGAGUUGAACUGCAAGCUCUGAGGAUUCAGCUGGUGAGAUUGGCAUGAUCUUGGUCAUGUGGGUUGUGUUAUCGGGUCUGCUUAGCUGCAGGUCCCCGCUUCGGCGGGGGUGCGCGAAUCACUUAUCAAGUGUUGUGCGCCCGGUUAAUGACGAGCCCGCUCGCCAGUGCACUUUCUCAGAGUGUUCACCACGACCGGCGUUGCCGUCUGGCUGUUGCGGUUAAACCGGCCUGGUAGGGUCCUUGUGGCUCUGCUAGGUCGGGAUGGCAGGUAGCCUGUUGUACAAUUUAUUGUGCUCCGGGUGUAAUAGCCGACUGCUUCGGUUCUGUGCGGUGCGUCGGAGACGGCGGCUUGUUGUGCUUGCAGGCGUGCCUGCUGUGCUGGCGGCUCUGAGUCUGGUUGCCUUGUUGCUUGUGAAUACAAGCCAGGUGAUGGCUUGGUGUCGUUUGGUCGGCGGUUGCGUUUGUUGCACUUUAAAAGGGCCCAUAGUCUGUGGUGUAGUGGUAGACUAUCCACCUGACCCGUCUUGAAACACGGACCAAGGAGAGUAACAUGUGCGCGAGUCAUUGGGCGUUACGAAACCCAAAGGCGCAGUGAAAGUAAAGGCUUGGCUUGUCUGAGCUGAGGUGAGAUCCUGUCGUUUCUCAUGCGCGGUACUACCAAGCUUCGAGCGGCAGGCGCAUCACCGGCCCGUCCCAUGGCGUGGAGGCAGCCUCCUGCUUGCUCAUCGUCGGGGCGGAGCAUGAGCGUACAUGUUGAGACCCGAAAGAUGGUGAACUAUGCUUGCGCAGGUUGAAGCCAGAGGAAACUCUGGUGGAGGACCGCAGCGAUUCUGACGUGCAAAUCGAUCGUCAAACGUGAGUAUA
rnacentral:rRNA from 1 species